rnacentral:rRNA from 1 species
AGUGAACGCUGGCGGUAGGCCUAACACAUGCAAGUCGAACGGCAGCACAGUAAGAGCUUGCUCUUACAGGUGGCGAGUGGCGGACGGGUGAGGAAUACAUCGGAAUCUACUUUUUCGUGGGGGAUAACGUAGGGAAACUUACGCUAAUACCGCAUACGACCUACGGGUGAAAGCAGGGGAUCUUCUGACCUUGCGCGAUUGAAUGAGCCGAUGUCGGAUUAGCUAGUUGGCGGGGUAAAGGCCCACCAAGGCGACGAUCCGUAGCUGGUCUGAGAGGAUGAUCAGCCACACUAGAACUGAGACACGGUCCAGACUCCUACGGGAGGCAGCAGUGGGGAAUAUUGGACAAUGGGCGCAAGCCUGAUCCAGCCAUACCGCGUGGGUGAAGAAGGCCUUCGGGUUGUAAAGCCCUUUUGUUGGGAAAGAAAAGCAGCAGGUUAAUACCCCGCUGUUCUGACGGUACCCAAAGAAUAAGCACCGGCUAACUUCGUG